rnacentral:rRNA from 1 species
AUUGAACGCUGGCGGAAUGCCUAACACAUGCAAGUCGAGCGGAGUAGCAAUACUAAGCGUCGGACGGGUGAGGAAUACAUAGGAACUUGCCUAUAGGCGGGGGAUAUCUUGGGGAAACUCAAGGUAUUACCGCAUGAACUCGCAAGAGCAAAGGGGCGCAAGUCUAGCCUCUAGAGAGGCCUAUGUCUGAUUAGCUAGUUGGCGGUGUAAUAGACCACCAAGGCGACGAUCAUUAACUGGUCUGAGAGGACGAUCAGACACAACGGAACUGAGACACGGUCCGGACGCCUACGGGAGGCAGCAGUGGGGAAUAUUGGACAAUGGGCGAAAGCCUGAUCCAGCAAUUCCGCGUGUGUGAAGAAGGCCUUCGGGUUGUAAAGCACUUUAGUGAGGGAAGAAACAGCUUGGCCACACCAAGCCUUGACGGUACCUCAAGAAUAGCACCGGCUAACUUUGUGCCAGCCGCCGCGGUAA